rnacentral:rRNA from 1 species
AGUGAACGCUGGCGGUAGGCCUAACACAUGCAAGUCGAACGGCAGCACAGUAAGAGUUCGCUCUUACGGGUGGCGAGUGGCGGAUGGGUGAGGAAUACAUCGGAAUCUACUUUUUCGUGGGGGAUAACGUAGGGCAACAUACGCUGAUACCGCAUACGAUCUACCGGUUAAAGCAGGGGUUCUUCGGAGCUUGCGCGUUUGUAUGAGCCGAUGUCGGAUUAGCUAGUUGGGAGGGUAAAGGCCCACCAAGGCAACGAUCCGUAGCUGGCCUGAGAGGGUGAUCGGCCACACUGGAACUGAGACACGGUCCAGACUCCUACGGGAGGCAGCAGUAGGGAAUCUUGGACAAUGGGCGCAAGCCUGACCCAGCCAUACCGCGUGAGUGAAGAAGGCCUUCGGGUUGUAAAACCCUUUUGUUGGGAAAGAAAAACAGCAGAUUAAUCCCCCGCUGUUCUGACGGUACCCAAAGAAUAAGCACCGGCUAACUUCGUG